rnacentral:rRNA from 1 species
AUGCAUGCAACGUACGUACUGCAUGCACGGCGAUCUACUCGUCUGUCACGGUCACGGAUGGAUGCAGCCGCCGCCGCCGUGACCGAUGCCACCGCCGAGUCCACCGGCGCCACCUCCGAGUCCUCCACCGCCGAGCCCGCCGCCUCCACCGCCGAGGCCACCAAUCCCACCUCCUCCACCGCCGAGUCCACCAAGUCCGCCCGAGCCACCGCCAAGGCCACCAAGUCCACCGGAGCCACCGCCAAGUCCACCAAGUCCGCCCGAGCCACCGCCAAGGCCACCAAGUCCACCGGAGCCACCGCCCAGACCGCCGAGGCCACCUGCACCACCACCGCCGAGCCCACCGAUCCCGCCCGCGCCGCCAAGGCCGCCAACGCCACCGCCGGCUCCGCCGAGCCCACCGACGCCUCCCACGCCAGUGAGGCCACCAAUGCCCCCGAUCCCUCCCACGCCGCCGAUGCCACCCACCGCUCCGCCCAGGCCUCCCACCCCGCUGGCGCCAGCGAAGCCCCCGACGCCGCCACCGUAGCCUCCGCCCAGGCCGCUGCCCAGGAAGGUCUUCUGGUCGCCGAGGCCGGCCGGUGCGGCCGCAGCCACGCCGACGUUCUUAGCACUCGUGGUCGUCGCAGUUGUCUUUGUGGUCUUGGCGGUGGCGGUGGCCGUGGCAGGCACGUCUCUCGCGUCAGCCGGGACUAG